rnacentral:rRNA from 1 species
AACAUGUCUUUUUGAAUAUAAUUUAAAGUCAAAUCUGCUCAAUGAUAAUUUUUAAAUAGCUGCAGAAUAUUAACUGUACAAAGGUAGCAUAAUCAAUAGUUUUUUAAUUAAAAGCUGGAAUGAAUGAUUUAAUAAGAAAAGUAUUGUCUCAAUUUUAAUAAAAUUAAAAAUUUUUUUCUAGUAAAAAUACUAGAUUAAUUUUAAAAGACGAGAAGACCCUAUAGAUUUUUAUAUUUUUGGUAUUUAUAUAUUUUAAUAUAAUUAAUAUUAUUAAUAUUUAAAAAUAUUUGAUUGGGGAAAUUAAUAAAUUAAAUAAAUUUUAAUUAAUUAAAAACAAUAAUAAUUGAUAAAUUGAAUUUAAUUUAAAAAUUAAAAGAAUAAAUUACCUUAGGGAUAACAGCGUAAUUUUUUUAAAGAGAUCAUAUUGAUAAAAAAGUUUGCGACCUCGAUGUUGAAUUAAGAUUAAAUUUUAAUGGAGAAAUUAAAAAUUUUUGGUCUGUUCGACCAUUAAAAUCUUACGUGAUCUGA